rnacentral:rRNA from 1 species
UACGAAGGGGGCUAGCGUUGCUCGGAAUCACUGGGCGUAAAGCGCACGUAGGCGGAUUGCUAAGUCAGGGGUGAAAUCCCGGGGCUCAACCCCGGAACUGCCUUUGAUACUGGUAGUCUUGAGUUCGAGAGAGGUGAGUGGAAUUCCGAGUGUAGAGGUGAAAUUCGUAGAUAUUCGGAGGAACACCAGUGGCGAAGGCGGCUCACUGGCUCGAUACUGACGCUGAGGUGCGAAAGCGUGGGGAGCAAACAGG